GGGGUAAUGUUAGGUUGGGUUAGGUUAGGUAAGGUUUACAGGUGAAGUGAUUUUGAGCAUAUUUAAGUCUAAGAUUCAAGAGGGAGUCGGCUUGUUGGGGUAAGGUUAGGUAAGGUUAGGUUAGGUAAGGUUAGGUUUACAGGUGAAAAGUCUAAGUGAUUUUGAGCAUAUUUAAGUCUAAGAUUCAAGAGGGAGUGGGCUUGUUGGGGUAAGGUUAGGUAAGGUUAGGUUAGGUUAGGUUAGGUUUACAGGUGAAAAGUCUAAGUGAUUUUGAGCAUAUUUAAGUCUAAGAUUCAAGAGGGAGUGGGCUUGUUGGGGUAAGGUUAGGUUAGGUUAGGUUAGGUUUACAGGUGAAGUGAUUUUGAGCAUAUUUAAGUCUAAGAUUCAAGAGGGAGUGGGCUUGUUGGGGUAAGGUUAGGUUAGGUUAGGUUAGGUUUACAGGUGAAAAGUCUAAGUGAUUUUGAGCAUAUUUAAGUCUAAGAUUCAAGAGGGAGUGGGCUUGUUGGGGUAAGGUUAGGUCAGGUUAGGUUAGUUUUACAGGUGAAAAGUCUAAGUUGUUUUGAGCAUAUUUAAGUCUAAGAUUCAAGAGGGAGUGGGCUUGUUGGGGUAAGGUAAGGUUAGGUUAGGUUAGGUUAAGAAAAGGAAGGAAAAAAGAUUAGAAGGGAAGGAGAAGGAGGAGGAAGAGGAAGAGGAGGAGGAGGAGGAAGAAGAAAGGAGGCUAGGUUAAGUUAUAUGAAGAAAAGGAAGAAGGAAAACAGUAAUAAUAAUGUUAAUAAGGAAGGAAAGAAGGAAAAGGAGAGAUGGGGAAAAAACAUGACAGUCAAAACACAAAAUCUCGGUGACAUUAAAUUUAAAAGAUUCCACUAAGGUUUAAAGAUGGAUCAUUGAAUUUAAAAGAUUCCACUAAGGUUUAAGGGUGGAUCAUUGAAUUUAAAAGGAUUCCACUAAGGUUUAAGGGCGGAUCAUUGAAUUUAAAACGAUUCCACUCAGGUUUAAGGACGGAUCAUUAAAUUUAAAACCAUUCCACUAAGGUUUAAGGGCGGAUCAUUGAAUUUAAAACGAUUCCACUGAGGUUUAAGGACGGAUCAUUGAAUUUAAAACGAUUCCACUAAGGUUUAAGGACGGAUCAUUGAAUUUAAAACGAUUCCACUAAGGUUUAAGGGUGGAUCAUUGAAUUUAAAACGAUUCCACUAAGGUUUAAGGACGGAUCAUUGAAUUUAAAACGAUUCCACUAAGGUUUAAGGGCAGAUCAUUGAAUUUAAAACGAUUCCACUAAGGUUUAAGGGCAGAUCAUUGAAUUUAAAACGAUUCCACUAAGGUUUAAGGGCAGAUCAUUGAAUUUAAAACGAUUCCACUAAGGUUUAAGGGCGGAUCAUUGAAUUUAAAACGAUUCCACUAAGGUUUAAGGAUGGAUCAUUGAAUUUAAAACGAUUCCACUAAGGUUUAAAGAUGGAUCAUUGAAUUUAAAACCAUUCCACUAAGGUUUAAGGAUGGAUCAUUAAAUUUAAAACAAUUCCACUAAGGUUUAAGGGUGGAUCAUUAAAUUUAAAACAAUUCCA